CUAUGAUCUCCACUGCUGCACCGCAGUUACCAUUUUCCCCACAGUAAAAAAGCGCUGCAGCUCGGCUGUGAUCACUGCAUGGGAGGGGCACGCACACACACAACCAGCAGCAGAGCCUCCGCCGUUCAGCACCACGGAGCCGGGCGCCCCGGCACCCGCCCUACACGGCACUGCGGGCAGUGGACCGGCGGAUACUGCUGGGGUACGGACUCACACCAAAACACCAGCGGGGCUUUAUGAAUGAAACCUUCUCUUCAGAUAAGAGGGAAACUGUCAGUGGCCACGAGGCACCCAGGAUGACAGGAGUGAGAAGAAUGGGGCAACUGGACUCUGCAUUUCCAGAAAGAAGCCAAGGGUCUAAAGAUUUUUCUCUGUGUGUAUUUUUUGAAAUGACUGUAUUUAGCUUGAGAGCACUUAUAUUUUUGUGAGCUAGGAUGCAGAGCUGCUUUGCUGAAUUCAUCAAGCCCCCUCUGCAUGUUAAAGUACUUAGCUCCUAGAACAGAUAUUUUCUCAUGUUGCAGAUGAAGUUAGAUGUAGGCUGACUGAAGGUUCAUAUCUGUCGAAACAAUGAAAUCCCUUUAGUCCCUUGAGAAGAUUAAGUUAUGUAUAAAGACCAUCUGCUAUGUGUAUGGCCAUCUAAAUAGUUUUGGACAGAAACUUCUCUCUAUAGCAGCAUAAGUCCAUUUUGAGAGUAGCCAGAGACUGAUUUCCCCACACAAAGGUCUAUUAUUGUUAUUGUGGUUCUUCACGGUUUCAUAUCACAAAUGUAUUUGGUUCUGUAUUCUCAGCUGACAUACUGUUGUAGUUACAAUGCUAACUGCCAAGACUACACUUCUGUUAUCAUGUGAGUUGCAGGUUCUUUCUGUGUCUUAUCAUUGGGAGCAGGUGUUGGUUUAAAAUUCUAAUUUUUCUUACACUAGAAAUAUCAAUUUUCUGAUCUCUAAUUAGGAGUCACGAAGGACCGAUGAAGUUGAAAUAGAAAUACUUUAGCUAAGACAUUCACAUUAAUCAUUGGAUAGAGUGAAAAAUAGCACAGAGCAGACUGAAAUAUUGCUAUAAUAGCAGUCCUGACUAUGUCCCUUUUUUUAGGCAACUGAAGUUUCCAUUUGUAUUGCCAAGUAGUUUCAGAUCAAGUAAUUUUAUACAGUUUGCGUGCAGUAGAAUAAACAGGAAUAAAAGCAAACUGUUCAUUUCUUGUUCCCAUGAAUCAUUCUAUCAGCUUUAAGGGACCAUUUCAAAACACUAAAAAGUCAUGAAUGGAACUUCUGAACUGGCUUAGAAUCAUGCUUAUAAAAUGAAUUGUGCUUAUUUUUUGUUUGGGCUGGUUGAAAGUCAGAAAUCAUUCAUUUAGUAUUGCUUUAGGCUAUCUGGAGAAACAAAAUUAAGUUCAAAGUUGAAAUUCUUGCAGUUUUUUAACUAGGAUCUGUGGCUUUAGUAAAACUGUCAAACAUCCAAAUGUGGAUUUAUGAGAUGUGGUAAUAUUGCUUCACCGAGACUAUGUGCAUGAGGAAGAGUUGGCAUACUAGAUUGCCAAAGGUAGAGCACCAGUAUUAACAAAUCUCUGCCACCUUGAAAAUUUAGUUGGAGCCUCAACCUUAUUUUCUAGCUGAAAUUAUAAAAUACCCCCCAAAGUGGGCUGUUUGCAUCUCUUUGAUAUUUGAUAACAUUUUUCAGAUUGCUACCAUGGUUAAACUCAACCCUGUAGUCCAUGGGGCAACACUUGCUGUCUCUGUGCAGCAGGGGGUAUGAACCAUUGACACAGUCACCAUGGAUCCGGGAUGCCCCUAAGAAGGGAUCAGUACAUCUAACCAAAUUCUGGUUUCUAUGAGGGAAUCCUUAUUUCUGGCCAAAAUAAUGGCAAGCAUAAAAGCUGUGUUUAGGAAAUGUUUUGUAUUUUAUCACAUUUAAAUAAUUAAAAAUCAUGACUUUAAGACGGUGGGUGGCCUAACACAACAUUAACAAGAGCCUGUUAAAAUUAUACCAUCAGGCAGUAGUUCACUUUUCUAAACUUAUAAGCAAGACGUUUCACAUGUUAGGUUUAUAUUCCACAGUCUGGAUUUCCACAUGAGGUUAUGAAGUUAUUUUGCAUUAGUGACUCAACUGCAGGAUAUAUGUGCAUAUGAACAUCAAGAACUCAGUGAAAGCUGGCAAAGUUUAUUUUGACAGCUAAGACAAAGUUUGUUAAAGGAAAGGAAGACAAUAUGGAACUAAUGAAAAAUCUGAGGGAUCAUGGAUAAAAAUAUGUGUGGAAACGUCUAAUCUUUGCUGUAGUCUGGUUCUGUGGCAUAGACAUUCAUCACUGGUUCAGUUGCAUCAGUUAUGCUUUUGGAGCGCAUCUUAAGGUUUCAGUUAAAAUCCAUGAAGUCCCUUUCAUGAGUCUGUGUGAACCAAAGCAGAAUCAAUCAUGACAUUAACUUUAAAAGUGCAAUUGUAAUUUGAACUAAAAUGCAGAUGUGGACACACCAUCUGUGUCUGCAUUAUGGACAGUACUGGUAUUAUAAUAAAUAACUACUUGCUUUUUGGAAAAAAGCUUUCCAAAGGGUCUCCUUCAAUCCCUCAGGAUUUUUAUCUGUCUGUCUACCCUUCUCUUUAUGUGAUUCCUUUCAUAAGCUCUUUUCUCUUCCCUAGACCUUAAUAUCCAAUACUUAUAAAAGUGGCUAUGUAAUUUUUCCUGAAAAUAAUCCCUUUCGUCAUCUCUGCUGCAUCUUGUCAUAUGCAUGUGUAGAAAGUGUUUUUCACGUCUAGGUGAACAUUUUUGUCAAUUUUCACUGUCACAAAACAGAGUACACAGUGCUUUCCUCUGAAAGACAAAUGACUUCUCACUUCAGUUGUUUCUCUUGUUGGAUGACAUAAUCUUGGUAUGGCUUUUAUUGUUAGUGAUCAAUCUGCUCUUAAGCAAAAACUGGCAUCUCCAAUACUGUCUCCUACUUGGAAUGAGACUGUAUUUUUUAUGUUUCUGCUCAUUUUAUAUGUCUAUAACCUCCUCUAAAAUAGGAUGUUUCAUUCUUUUUGGCUUGUUUUCUUCUGGGAAAACUAGUUUCUAGUCCUUUGCUUUGAAGUCACCCAUUGACACCACUGAUGCACCUCUACUACACUUGUGAUACUAAUCUUUCACUUCUGGAGUCAGAUUCUUGUCAUUUGUUCCUAGUUCUUUGCUGGUAUUACUGAAGUUAUCCCAAACAUCAUGCCAGAACAAGAAGUGUCUGUGAGAGGAUUUUGGUACAUUGCUCUGAUGGGUGCUCAAUUCUUUAUUCAUAUUUAUUGUGGACAGAACAGAAACUAUUGAUUUAUAUUUUGCAUGCAUUCUCCUUCUGUGUUGGCUCAGAAGUAUUAAAAAAAGAAGGGGGAGGGGUGGGGGAAAAGUGUAGCAAAAUAAAUGAUAUCAUCUCGUAAGUUUCUGGGCUACUAGGAACUCCUGCAAAAAUGUCUCUCAGCCCCUGAGUACACAAUGACUUUCCAGUAUAACAUACUUUGUAAUCCUUCUUCUGGUGUCUUCUGAUACUUACAAAGCUGGCUAUAAACUAACUAAACAUUUGUACACCAUCUAUAAAUUAUGAGAUAGAAAAAGACAAAAAGCAUGGAAACAUUUUCUGAUUAAAAUUGUACUUGGAAAGGAAGAGCCUCAUAGAGAUUUUAUCACUUCAGUGCUCUAGCCACUGUAACAAGCAUUCGGGAGUCUGGAGUCCAGUCAAGAUACUGAAAUGUCAAAUGAGAGUUUUGAAGGUGUUCUUACUCUUCAGCUGAACAUUCUGAAUUCCCUCAACAUUUGAUCAGUGACCUUUAACUCCUUUUCUCGUAAAUUUUAUGACUACUCCUGCCCUCAUACAAAUCUUAAUAGAAUCCAGAGGAGAUCCAACAAAACCAGAAACAAUGCAGGAUUAAGUAAAAAUAAAAAAAGUCUAAAUAUGCAAUAUUUUAUAAAACUUAGUUUGGUUUUCAGUAAUGACUGUUCACAUAAACAUGCAGUUGAUACAGUUUCAUAUCUACAAGUGCACACACUUCAUUCUUUGUUGUGCCAAUGCUUUUGAAAGUGUUAUCAUUGGCUUUGGUCCUAGUCUGAAAUCCAGGCAAAAGAUCUCUGAGUGGUGUUUCAUGCAGGAUCAGGACUGUCCUCUUGAUGUUGAUUUGCUGUCUUGCUCCCAGGGCUAGAAAUCUUUGCAGACUCUUGGAGAUCAAAACUAUUAAUUUCCUUAGGUACUAAAGGCAUCUUUCACCACUCACCAUUUUUGUACCAUGUCACUCUCUUUUCCAGAGUGAUGCUUAAUCUUAUUGCUGCAUUUGCAUUGCUGAGUUGACGUCCUUCUCUUUGGUCUUAACCACUCUGUCUUGCAACUUUUUCCUCCAACAUGUAUUCCUCUCCUUUAAAUAUUGUAUGUGAGCCAGUUAGUUCUUAAGCUUAUGUGUGGAGAUGGGUAUUUUUACAACAAACAUCUGUUUAACAUUUACCUGUUGCUAAUAUGCACAAUGUGAAACUAAGUGUAUGCCGUAGGUCCCUCCUGGAAAAUACUUUUACUGCCUUUUUUUUUUUUUUCUUUGCUUCUCAGCUUUACAUACCGUAAAUAAAUUUGAACUCUGAAGCCACAGCAUUUAUAUUCAGCUGCCUUUCUCCCUUAUCCACCCCUGCUCUCCUUUCCUUAUAGGUGGCUGUUCAGAAACAUCUGUUUUCUAUCACUGUGUCAAACAGAAAACAAUCACAGUACUCAUUAAGAAGUUUCCAUGUUUAACCUUUGUAUGGCAACUUUCAGAAAAAGAGGACCUCCCAGCUUUUUUUCUUGAUGAGCUUUGUUAUUUUCUCUCCAUAAACUCCCAAGAAGGCUUUCAGCAGCUCUUCCAUGAUGCUUUGUUGCUUGCCUAGAAGCUCAACCUCUUGAAAUGUCCCAUUGUUAUGCUCUUCAGCCUUCAAGUCACAUUGGGUGGUGUGCUUACCACAGUAACUGGAAAAUGACUGCUGUUAAAAUAAUAAAUGUUGUUUUAAAAAUUAUGCAAUAUUUCAGAACCUCCUUGUUAACACCACUAACAAGCCAUUUGUUCCCAUGAAUUCGCAGCAUGGUUUUAAAUGCCCAUCCAGCUGAUGAAAGCUUGAAAGCAAUCAUUGUUUCAGCCUGCUUGGUAGGUGUUCUUUCACUUCAUCUACAGUUACUUGUGGUCUGGGUUCAGGAAGAUGGAACAGUUCUGCUCCUUCCCAUUGUCCAAGAAGUGUUGAGAAAGGAGAAGGUGAAAGCUAUUUGCAAAAGCUCUGAGUAAGUUGAUUUUGUUCAUGCUCAUUCUGUCACUGCCUUAACUUACACUCUUACCUCCAGUUUACCUACAAGCACCAAGUAUGUCUGAGUGUUCUGGCACUGUGUGUGACACAAAGAACCAGGGGCACUGGCUACUGAGUCCUUGUCACAGCUCUGGGGUUCUUCAGGAUCGGCAGUGAUGAACUAGUUUUUGGACAAACUUUUCAUGUCCAUUUAGGACUAGUGUUUUGCUAUUAUUCUCCUGUUGUGAUAACAGGAAGAUUGGUAUAUAUGAUGUUCUGCUGUCUUGACAAGGAGAGGCCAUUCCUCCGUCUUAAUUCAAAUACUACCAGGUCAUGCUAAAAUGCGAGAUGUGGGAUCUUGCUAAGACUGAGAGAGCUUUUAACCUCCGGUCUAAGGAUUAUCUUUCUUUUGAGGAGAAAAGUAAUUAUAUCAUUAUCCCUUGAGUAUAACAAUUUUUUUAAUUUAUUCAUUUUUUUACAUUUUCAGCACUGGCCUGUUUCAGAACUCAUUAUGUAAAAAAAAAAAAAAAAGUUGAUUUUUUUCAACUGAGUAGGUACUUCCUCUGCAGCCUCAUUUAUACCCCCUUGCAAUAAACAGUGAGAAUUUGAUGCCAUUCUGUUUAAGGACAUAUAUAUGUCUUAUAAGGAAGACUUGAAGAAAACAAACAUUGUAAACUUACAGUGUGAGGCAAUACUGAUGGGUGGUAGCAUUGAAUAGACAGCUGUAUACUUGCUGGUUUUUUUUGUAGUGUUGUACCCCAUUGGUAUCUGCUGCGCUUGAACAUGUAAGAGUGUUCAGUUUUUCUGUUCCUAAUGUGAACUGGAUUCCCUGCUUCUCUAGGUGGGAGUUGUUCCAUUUUGAAAUCUAAAUUACUUCUCCAUUGCACAGCAUUUAAUAUUAACUCUUCUGUAAUUCAGUGCAGAUGGAUUUACAUGCUAUCUGGCUUCUUUUUUUUCUUUUCCAUUGCUGAUUUGUCUAAGCAGACAUGUGGAGGUGGAUAAAUAUACACGCAGGCUGAAUGGAUGCCACAUACAGAAACAACCUGUAUGAUGUAGACUGCAGAGCUCAGCAGCACUAGUAAUAAAAACAGACUCAUAGCCCUCAUAGCAGCAGAAAUUGCCCCAGUGUGAUGUUACUUGGCACCAUGUGUUUUGUGUAUCAACAUUCUUGACCAUGCAUAGUAACUUCAGAUGGUUUAUAAGAAUAACAGCUAAUCCUGCCUUGCUAAAGAAAAAUCCAAUUUAGGUUAGGCGGAAUUUACAGACAACUUGUCACUGCUCUGUAUAAUUGGGUUUGGCUGCCAUUUUGCCCUGUACUGUGUAAUCACAGUUCUCCUGGAAGUGGCUGCCAUGUGGGAUUGGACACUGGGAUGUUCCAUAGAGAACAGAAGCAUACAAACAUCUUAGAUCCAUGUGGGUAAAAUACUAGUGUAGGAUCAUGAUUUUCUGAAAAAAAAAAUAAAAAAAAAAUCCUAAAAGUAGGAGUUGUUUCUUUGUCUUCUGUAUCAAUCAUCUAGGUUGCUCAAUAAUUUGGAACUUAUUUUCUUUAUCAUUAAUUUCAAUCAGCAUUUAUCAUAAAUUUCAAUCAGAAGAAAUGGCGUAUCUUUUUGCUAGAAACAGCAGAAACUGGCAUUCCAUGGUUGGGAAUUGCACUAGCAGCUAGUGUAUCCUUCUGAGUCUGUAUGAUUCUGGGGCCGGCAGGAAACUGUCUAACAUUUUGCAAGUGUCUUCCAUUUCCAAUACUAUUAUCAGUGUACUCCUUAUAUCUAAUUGGAAUUGUUCCAAAUUGUGUUCUAAGUUGCCUCUUGUCUUAUUCCAGUGUACCUCUAAGAAGGUCAUAUUCUCUUUCCAAUUUGCUUGCAUUCAUGCUGUAGGUCUUCAGAACACCCCAAGUCCUGGGCAUCACCACUUCAGGCUUAUAGGAGCCUUCUAACUUUUGGAGUAUUUCUGGAGAGUAACUUGAUGUGCAUUUUUCUGUCAGCAGUUUUGGGUUGAACAUUUUCCAUCUGCAUCUGCUCAUUUUUGUCCUCAGAGCCACUCUAUUAAGCUGUUACAGUUAUUUUUCAAAUAUCUGAUUGUUUUUUUCCUAUGAGAUACUGAUAUGGAGAGUCAGGUCUCAGAGAGAUUAAUGAGUUGUCUCUACUCAAAGUUAUUUAUAUACAAGCUUUUGCUUUAUUUAUUUUGAAUUGGGACUCCCUCUGCUUUGUUACUAAAUGAUGCAAGGAAAACUGCCAGAAGCGUAAGGAAAACCAUGUACUUUUACACUUGCAUUACUUCCAUAAUAUCAACAUGGAAGAAAAAAAUCUCACAGUAUAGAAAAAUAUAAAGCCCUAAAUA